rnacentral:rRNA from 1 species
CCUAACACAUGCAAGUCGAGCGGUAACAGAAAGAAAGCUUGCUUUCUUUGCUGACGAGCGGCGGACGGGUGAGUAAUGCCUGGGAAUAUGCCUUAGUGUGGGGGAUAACUAUUGGAAACGAUAGCUAAUACCGCAUAACGUCCUUGUUCAUUACGAGCGGGACCAAAGAGGGGGACCUUCGGGCCUCUCGCGCUAAGAUUAGCCCAGGUGGGAUUAGCUAGUUGGUGAGGUAAAGGCUCACCAAGGCAACGAUCCCUAGCUGGUCUGAGAGGAUGAUCAGCCACACUGGAACUGAGACACGGUCCAGACUCCUACGGGAGGCAGCAGUGGGGAAUAUUGCACAAUGGGGGAAACCCUGAUGCAGCCAUGCCGCGUGUAUGAAGAAGGCCUUCGGGUUGUAAAGUACUUCAGUCGUGAGGAAGGCAUUGUAGUUAAUAGCUGCAGUGCUUGACGUUAGCGACAGAAGAAGCACCGGCUAACUCCGUG